UGGGGAAUAUUGGACAAUGGGCGAAAGCCUGAUCCAGCAAUGCCGCGUGAGUGAUGAAGGCCUUAGGGUUGUAAAGCUCUUUUACCAGGGAUGAUAAUGACAGUACCUGGAGAAUAAGCUCCGGCUAACUCCGUGCCAGCAGCCGCGGUAAUACGGAGGGAGCUAGCGUUGUUCGGAAUUACUGGGCGUAAAGCGUACGUAGGCGGUGACUCAAGUCAGAGGUGAAAGCCUGGAGCUCAACUCCAGAACUGCCUUUGAAACUAGGUCGCUAGAAUCACGGAGUUAGGUGAGUGGAAUUCCGAGUGUAGAGGUGAAAUUCGUAGAUAUUCGGAAGAACACCAGUGGCGAAGGCGGCUCACUGGACGUGUAUUGACGCUGAGGUACGAAAGCGUGGGGAGCAAACAGGAUUAGAUACCCUAGUAGUCCCUGAGCGGGCUGGCAAGGCGCAU
rnacentral:rRNA from 1 species